UCAGGACCUACUGUAUACAGUAGGUCCUGGUACUGUGAUCAAGAUCCAAGACUUCAAAAGCUUUUCCUUUCCUAUUAAACUCAUUUACUCACAGUUUUAAUUUUCAUCAGCUUUUACGGCUAUACGAGUAUCCAAACAAUUUAGUUUUUAUUAAUUUUUACGUGCUUCUGAAAUACAUUGAACGUUUUAAGAACCUAGAAAGUUGAGCUGACUGUUUUUACGUUUUCGCCCCCUGCUCAGAGUGCUCGCAUACAUCAUGUCUGCUAAAAGCGGAAAAGUUUUGGUUAGCGUGGUUUACUGCGGUGCGUGAGGGUAUGGAUCCAGGUUCCGUGCAUUCGAAGCGGAACUUCGGAAACGGUACAAGGAUGAAAUUGAAGUGAGAGGCUCCGCGACGCCAACCCGGACCGGCAAAUUCGAAGUCGAAGUGAACGGACGCUUAUGCCAUUCCAAAAUUAACGGCGAUGGGUUUUGCGACUCCACCGACAAACUUCACAAGGUCAUGAAGGCCAUAGAAGAAGCACUGGAAGAUGCCGAUAAUGAAGUGGACACCAAGCAGUCCGGCGACCGUCGAAUUCCGCCUCGCUAAUCCUGCGUUUGAAAUUUUGGAGGUUGCUGUCUCGAUUGACUGGUAAAUAAAAUCAGCGCAAACUGGAGAAGUCCUAUGAAAGUGCUAGGAUAAAGUUUCCUCUUAGCACUGGAUGUUUGCCUUUCCUUUUUGCAUGAUUUUACACGCCAGUCUUUUGGUUCAGCAAUAUUCCGUCAUUAAUUGUCAUCAACUCGAAUACAUUCUGAUGCAGCUAUGCGGUAGUUUAAUACGUUGCUUGCUUGAUUUGAUGAUGCAGUAGCAUUGCAGAAGUGUAUUGUAGUAAUGUUGGCAUCGAGCCAUGGUCGUGAACUUCUCGGUUCAUCUAGUUGCUGAAUUCAUUUAUUUACUGCGGAUUUACAGAUUUCGAUAGCAAUUAACAGCUUUUAGUAUAUUUGUUGACUGCUUCGCUGCGCUAUUUACCAGAAAGUGUUAUUCCUUUGUAUCGUUCAUUGUAUCAAAGUAAAGCACCCAAUACU